AUGAACGCUAGCUACAGGCUUAACACAUGCAAGUCGAGGGGCAUCAGGGUGUAGCAAUACACCGCUGGCGACCGGCGCACGGGUGAGUAACACGUAUCCAACCUGCCCUUUACUCGGGGAUAGCCUUUCGAAAGAAAGAUUAAUACCCGAUGGUAUAACAUGACCUCCUGGUUUUGUUAUUAAAGAAUUUCGGUAGAGGAUGGGGAUGCGUUCCAUUAGGCAGUUGGCGGGGUAACGGCCCACCAAACCUUCGAUGGAUAGGGGUUCUGAGAGGAAGGUCCCCCACAUUGGAACUGAGACACGGUCCAAACUCCUACGGGAGGCAGCAGUGAGGAAUAUUGGUCAAUGGGCGAGAGCCUGAACCAGCCAAGUAGCGUGAAGGAUGACCGCCCUAUGGGUUGUAAACUUCUUUUAUAUGGGAAUAAAGUCUGCCACGUGUGGCAUUUUGUAUGUACCAUAUGAAUAAGGAUCGGCUAACUCCGUGCCAGCAGCCGCGGUAAUACGGAGGAUCCGAGCGUUAUCCGGAUUUAUUGGGUUUAAAGGGAGCGUAGGUGGACAUGUAAGUCAGUUGUGAAAGUUUGCGGCUCAACCGUAAAAUUGCAGUUGAUACUGCGUGUCUUGAGUACAGUAGAGGUGGGCGGAAUUCGUGGUGUAGCGGUGAAAUGCUUAGAUAUCACGAAGAACUCCGAUUGCGAAGGCAGCUCACUGGACUGCAACUGACACUGAUGCUCGAAAGUGUGGGUAUCAAACAGGAUUAGAUACCCUGGUAGUCCACACAGUAAACGAUGAAUACUCGCUGUUUGCGAUAUACAGUAAGCGGCCAAGCGAAAGCAUUAAGUAUUCCACCUGGGGAGUACGCCGGCAACGGUGAAACUCAAAGGAAUUGACGGGGGCCCGCACAAGCGGUGGAGCAUGUGGUUUAAUUCGAAGCAACGCGAAGAACCUUACCAGGCCUUGACAUCCCUUGCAGAGGUAUAGAGAUAUAUCCGAGGUUAUCAAGGAGACAGGUGGUGCAUGGUUGUCGUCAGCUCGUGCCGUGAGGUGUCGGCUUAAGUGCCAUAACGAGCGCAACCCUUAUCUUCAGUUACUAACAGGUUAUGCUGAGGACUCUGGAGAGACUGCCGUCGUAAGAUGUGAGGAAGGUGGGGAUGACGUCAAAUCAGCACGGCCCUUACGUCCGGGGCUACACACGUGUUACAAUGGGGGGUACAGAAGGCCGCUACACAGCGAUGUGAUGCCAAUCCCUAAGGCCCCUCUCAGUUCGGAUCGAAGUCUGCAACCCGACUUCGUGAAGCUGGAUUCGCUAGUAAUCGCGCAUCAGCCACGGCGCGGUGAAUACGUUCCCGGGCCUUGUACACACCGCCCGUCAAGCCAUGGGAGCCGGGGGUACCUGAAGUACGUAACCGCAAGGAGCGUCCUAGGGUAAAACUGGUGACUGGGGCU
rnacentral:rRNA from 1 species